UGCUGUGACGAACCCUAACCGGGAAAGCCGAAAGACAACAACAUUUCUUUUCAAAUUUCACCGCGGCCCAUAGAGGCUAGCAAUUGUGCCCUCCCCCACUUCAAGCACAAACUUGUUCACUUUUUCCUAUCCACGGUAGCACAGCCCCCGCCCUAAGCCAUGCUCUCACUCAUUCCCUCCCCCUGCAUGAUGUAUAUGCUUGAUGUGAUGUGAGUGGCCGCUCUUAUGGAGCAUUAUUCAAAGCAACCUAUCAGUGAUAAUUUCGCACCACUGACAUCAUGGCCACUGAUCCAUUGAGCAUAUAUAAACAGCUAACUCCCACCUCUCGUUCCUUCCUUCAUUGACGCACUAGAGAAGUGGGUGCACCUAUUGGCUAUGGGCAAUUGUAUUUCUUGGAAUCUGUGGACGUGAGUCAGCAUCGUUUUGUUUGCCGGGUUCUGAGUUGCUCCAUGUGGGCUACUACAAAAUGAACAGAGCGUGUUUUGGCUUUUUAAUUCCAAAAUUUACACCAGACCAUCCUCCUUAUUUGGUUUAUUAUUUGUGUUCGGUGGCUAGGAGAGCAUGUUACCUGAGGAUGUUCGCCCAUCCACAGACGAUGAUGUGCACAUGCAACGACACUGCCAGAUUCUUCUUCUGAAGAAGGGGAUUGAUGAUGAUGAUGCUGAGAAACCUGGACCUGCCCCUGCCUGACACAUCCUGCCUGCACCCUGGAGAUUGACACGACCAGGAUAUAGACAAUUUUUGGGAGGAGAUCCUGAGGUCAAUAUCGACGUGUUCUGAAUACAGAUGAGGGACAUGAUGGGGACCUUGUUUAAUGAAAUGGCAUGUGCUAUGUGGGAUUCAUUCAGGAUAAUAGCUUGUGAGAUCAUUCAGGAGUCUGAUCCACAUUAACCUGGUUCCACCUGUCAGCAGGUAUUGUCUGUGGGCUCCACCUCUGUUAUGAUGACAAUAUGGUGAUUGGCAUUUAAUUGAUUGGACUUUACUCUUGUGCAUACAUACCAUGCAUCUGUCAUGCUUAUGUGUUAUCGUCUGACAUUUACUUUGGUUUCAGUGUGUGUAUGACACCCGUUAACACAUUACACUGUCCACACAUUCAACUCUCCAUGCCUUUUGGCAGUAAAUCUGCUGAUAGUGAUGCAACAGGCAGCCUGUAAACAUGUGUGUUAGUGAGACGACUGACAAACAACACAUCUUGUUGCAGAUGCUCUACUCCUCUAUUGCAAAAUAUGGAACACCCUCCCACCAUCAAUCAUGACUACCAGCAAUGCAUAACACCCUCCCUCCAUCAAUCAGGACUACCAGCAAUGCAUCACACCCACCCUCCAUCAAUCAGGACUACCAGCAAUGCAUCACACCCUCACACCAGCAAUUAGGACUACCAGCAAUGCAUCACAUCCUCCCUCCAUCAAUCAGGACUACCAGCAAUGCAUCACACCUUCCCACCAUCAAUCAUGACUACCAGCAAUGCAUCACACUUUCCCACCACCAUGUUGAUCUAUUGUAUGUACUGAUCAUGUGAUCUAUUGUACUGUAAGUACUGAUGAUGUUGAUCUAUUGUAUUGUAUUGUAUGUUUUUUAGAGAAAAUAAUACCCAUUUUAGGGGUUUACAAUUGCAAAA